UAGCUCAUACUAGGCAACCUGAUGG
rnacentral:piRNA from 1 species